CAGCCGCCGCGGUAAUACGUGGGUGGCAAGCGUUGUCCGGAAUUAUUGGGCGUAAAGGGCUCGCAGGCGGUUUCUUAAGUCUGAUGCGAAAGCCCCCGGCUCAACCGGGGAGGGUCAUUGGAAACUGGGAAACUUGAGUGCAGAAGAGGAGAGUGGAAUUCCACGUGUAGCGGUGAAAUGCGUAGAGAUGUGGAGGAACACCAGUGGCGAAGGCGACUCUCUGGUCUGUAACUGACGCUGAGGAGCGAAAGCGUGGGGAGCGAACAGGAUUAGAUACCCCUGUAGUCCCUGUCUCUUAUAA
rnacentral:rRNA from 1 species